rfam:Schistosoma margrebowiei strain Zambia genome assembly, scaffold: SMRZ_contig0001155
CUCCAGCUGACAAGUCCCAAAUAGGACGAAACGUCCAUCCUGGAU